rnacentral:rRNA from 1 species
AGGGAAUCUUCGGCAAUGGGGGCAACCCUGACCGAGCAACGCCGCGUGAGUGAAGAAGGUUUUCGGAUCGUAAAGCUCUGUUGUAAGUCAAGAACGGGUGUGAGAGUGGAAAGUUCACACUGUGACGGUAGCUUACCAGAAAGGGACGGCUAACUACGUGCCAGCAGCCGCGGUAAUACGUAGGUCCCGAGCGUUGUCCGGAUUUAUUGGGCGUAAAAGCGAGCGCAGGCGGUUUGAUAAGUCUGAAGUUAAAGGCUGUGGCUCAACCAUAGUUCGCUUUGGAAACUGUCAAACUUGAGUGCAGAAGGGGAGAGUGGAAUUCCAUGUGUAGCGGUGAAAUGCGUAGAUAUAUGGAGGAACACCGGUGCGAAAGCGGCUCUCUGGUCUGUAACUGACGCUGAGGCUCGAAAGCGUGGGGAGCGAACAGGAUUAGAUACCCUGGUAGUCCACGCCGUAAACGAUGAGUGCUAGGUGUUGGAUCCUUUCCGGGAUUCAGUGCCGCAGCUAACGCAUUAAGCACUCCGCCUGGGGAGUACGACCGCAAGGUUGAAAC